GCCACCUUUCUAAGAACAGAGAAGCGUCUCAAGAGAGAGCCAGAAUGGAAAGCGGCAUAUGGGGCUCAAGUCCAUGAGAUGGUGGAAAGAGGAGCAGCAAAGAAGCUCACCAAAGAGACCAUUUCCAACUGGAAAGGGCCUGUGUGGUAUGUUAGUCACUUGGUGGCGCCAAACCCCCAUUCUGUCACAACACCUGUGCGCCUUGUAUGGAAUAGCAGCCAGAAAUUUAAAGGACGCAGCAUGAACGACCUCCUGCUGAAAGGACCUGAUGUCCUAAAUCCAAUCCGAGCAGUGCUUCUUAGGUUCAGAAGAGGUGUGUAUGCAGCACUCGGGGACAUCAGGAAAAUGUACAAUUCUGUGUGGUUGGAAGAACUGGAAAUGCAUCUUCACAGAUUUCUCUGGAGAGACACAGAAGAUGGUGAGAUUGAGGAAUAUGCCAUCACCCGAGUUAACAUUGGCGAUCGACCAGCAGGGUGCAUUGCACAGCUGGCCAUGAGGGAGACUGCCAAACUGCCUAUGUUUGCUCACUUAAAAGAAGAAUGCAGGAUCCUAGAAGAGGAUUCUUAUGUUGACGAUGUCCUUACUUCCCACAAUAACCUGAAAAAGUUGGUUGAGACCACUAAAAGAGUUGAGGAGAUCCUGGAGGCAGGCGGGUUCUUCCUUAGGCCCUGGGUUCGGUCAGGCCAAAGUGGGAGGAAGGAGGCCAUGCCAGAAGCAUCACCAGACAAAAUACUCCUCCUCCCAAACCAAAGGAGGGAAGAAGACAACAAAGCCUUAGGAGUUGGCUACAUUGUUGGAAGUGACAAACUGUACCCAAUGACUGCAAUAAAUUUCUCAAAGAGGAAAAAGAAAAUGAGAGUUGGCCAAAAUCUCCUUGGAGAAGAGGUAAAAAACAACACUCCUAACCCACUAACUAGGAGACAACUGCUAAGCCAAGUAGCUAGCCUGUAUGACCCAAUAGGUCUUGUUACACCUGUCAAACAAAAGGGUGCCAUUCUAGUCAGGAGAGCGUUCCAAGAGGCUGGAGGCAAUGCAACCAGAGACACCUGGGACAAACCGCUGUCUGAGAAAUUGAGGGAGGAAGCCAUCCAGCUGUUUGAGGAGUACACAUGUCUCAGUCAAAUCACCUUUCACAGAAGCCUCACACCAGUUGACUGGAUCAGAAAGCCAUGGGGAGUAACAUUCUCUGAUGGAAGUGACCAGAGUUAUGGAGCUGUUGUGUACCUCAGAUGGGAGACAGUGCAAGGUGUUGAAGUCAGACUGGUCGAGUCUAAAGCAAAGCUCACACCACUCGAUCAGAAGGGUGAACCGGUCAAGGCUGAGAUCUGUGGAGCUGUCUAUGCAGUUCGCCUCAGGAGAUACAUUGAAAAGCACAGUCGGAUGGAAAUUGAGAAAUGGCUCCAUCUGCUGGACAGUCAAACUGUGUUGGGAGCAAUCCAAAGAGACAGUUAUGGGUAUCAAACCUUCUUUGCAAACAGAGUUGGAGAAAUUCAAAAAUCUGCUUCUGUUGAUGACUGGUGGUGGAUUCCAGGGGACCUCAAUGUUGCAGACAUCAUAACAAGAGGUGCAGCGCCAAGGGACUUACAGGAGAAUUCUGUGUGGCAGAAUGGACCAGAGUUUCUAAAGCAAACUGUGGAAAAGUGGCCGAAAAAGUCUGCCAAAGAAGUUGCGGCCUAUGCCAAGG
ensembl:lncRNA